rnacentral:rRNA from 1 species
AACCAACAGGGAUUGCCUCAGUAACGGCGAGUGAAGCGGCAAAAGCUCAAAUUUGAAAUCUAGUACCUUCGGUGCUCGAGUUGUAAUUUGAAGAUGGCGACUUUGGGAGUGGCCUUUAUCUAUGUUCCUUGGAACAGGACGUCACAGAGGGUGAGAAUCCCGUCUGAUGAGGUGAUCCACUCCUUUGUAAAGUGCUAUCGAAGAGUCGAGUUGUUUGGGAAUGCAGCUCUAAGUGGGUGGUAAAUUCCAUCUAAAGCUAAAUAUUGGCGAGAGACCGAUAGCGAACAAGUACAGUGAUGGAAAGAUGAAAAGAACUUUGAAAAGAGAGUGAAAAAGUACGUGAAAUUGUUGAAAGGGAAGGGUAUUAGAUCAGACUUGGCGUUGUGUGAUUAUCUUCCCCUUGUGGGUUGUGCACUCGUGCUUCGCUGGGCCAGCAUCGAUUCGUGUGGCAGGAUAAUAGCAUUGGAACGUGGCUGCGCUUCUGUGUAGUGUUAUAGCCUUUGUUGAUACUGCCUAUGUGGAUCGAGGACUGCGUCUUUUGACUAGGAUGCUGGCGUAAUGAUCUAAUAUCGCCCGUCUUGAAACA